rnacentral:rRNA from 1 species
UUGUCCUACGGGACGCAGCAGUGGGGAAUAUUGCACAAUGGGGGAAACCCUGAUGCAGCAACGCCGCGUGAGUGAAGAAGGUUUUCGGAUUGUAAAGCCCUAUCAGCAGGGAAGAAGAUGACAGUACCUGACUAAGAAGCCCCGGCUAACUACGUGCCAGCAGCCGCGGUAAUACGUAGGGGGCGAGCGUUAUCCGGAUUUACUGGGUGUAAAGGGAGCGUAGACGGUUCUGCAAGUCUGAAGUGAAAGCCCGUGGCUUAACCGCGGAACGGCUUUGGAAACUGUGGAACUGGAGUGCUGGAGAG